CCAAUAGCGUAUAUUAAAGUUGUUGCAGUUAAAAAGCUCGUAGUUGAAUUUCGGGAUUAGUACGCUGGUCGUGCCUUCGGUAUGUACUGGUGUUACUGGUUCCUACCUUCUGACGAACCGUCAUGUCAUUAAUUUGGUGUGGCGGGAAAUCAGGACUGUUACUUUGAAAAAAUUAGAGUGUUUAAAGCAGGCUCGCGCUUGAAUACAUUAGCAUGGAAUAAUGAAAUAGGACGUUCGAUCCUAUUUUGUUGGUUUCUAGGAUUGACGUAAUGAUUAAUAGGGAUAGUUGGGGGCAUUAGUAUUCAAUUGUCAGAGGUGAAAUUCUUGGAUUUAUUGAAGACUAACUACUGCGAAAGCAUUUGCCAAGGAUGUUUUCAUUAAUCAAGAACGAAAGUUAGGAGAUCGAAGACGAUCAGAUACCGUCGUAGUCUUAACCAUAAACUAUGCCGACUAGGGAUCGGAUGAUGUUAUUUUUAAUGACUCAUUCGGCGCCUUACG
rnacentral:misc_RNA from 1 species